UGAGUACGAGAUGCUACGGCAUCGAAGCAGUCUAUGUCAUACUUCCAAGAAAAGCUUGCAAUGUCAUAAACAAAUAAUGCCUGUACCAUAACCGACACAGGUGGGUAGGUAGAGUAUACUAAGGGGCGCGAGAUAACUCUCUCUAAGGAACUCGGCAAAAUGACUCCGUAACUUCGGGAGAAGGAGUGCCUUAUUUUUAUAAGGUUGCAAUAACAAGAUCCAAGCAACUGUUUACCAAAAACACAGGUCUCCGCUAAGUCGUAAGACGAUGUAUGGGGGCUGACGCCUGCCCAGUGCCAGAAGGUUAAAGAAGUUGGUUAGCAUUAGCGAAGCUGAUAACUGAAGCCCUGGUGAACGGCGGCCGUAACAAUAACGGUCCUAAGGUAGCGAAAUUCCUUGUCGGGUAAGUUCCGACCCGCACGAAAGGCGUAAUGAUUUGGAUACUGUCUCGGAGAGGGGCUCGGUGAAAUAGACUUGUCUGUGAAGAUGCGGACUACCUGCACCUGGACAGAAAGACCCUAUGAAGCUUUACUGUAACUUGAGAUUGAAAUUGGACUUUAUCUGCGCAGUAUAGGUGGGAGACGUUGAAAAUAUUCUUGCGGGAAUAUUGGAGUCAUCAGUGAGAUACCACUCUUAUAAUGCUAGAUUUCUAACUUUGUAUCAUUAUCUGGUCAAAGAACAGUUUCAGGCGGGCAGUUUGACUGGGGCGGUCGCCUCCCAAACGGUAACGGAGGCGCACAAAGGUUUCCUCUGAACGUGUAGAAAUCGUAUCUAGAGUGUAAAGGCAUAAGGAAGCUUGACUGUGAGACCUACAAGUCGAGCAGGGACGAAAGUCGGUCUUAGUGAUCUGACGGUGCUGAGUGGAAAGGCCGUCACUCAACGGAUAAAAGUUACUCUAGGAUAACAGGCUGAUCUCCCCCAAGAGUUCACAUCGACGGGGAGGUUUGGCACCUCGAUGUCGGCUCAUCGCAUCCUGGGGCGGUAGUACGUCCCAAGGGUUGGGCUGUUCGCCCAUGAAAGCGGUACGCGAGCUGGGUUCAGAACGUCGUGAGACAGUUCGGUCCAUAUCCGGUGUAGGCGUUAGAAUAUUGAGAGGAGCCUUCUUUAGUACGAGAGGACCGAGAAGGACAUACCUCUGGUGUACCAGUUAUCGUGCCAACGGUAAACGCUGGGUAGCCAUGUAUGGAGAGGAUAACCGCUGAAAGCAUCUAAGUGGGAAGCCCACCUCAAGAUAAG
rnacentral:rRNA from 1 species